rnacentral:rRNA from 1 species
GAUGAACGCUGGCGGCGUGCCUAAUACAUGCAAGUCGAGCGAACAGAUAAGGAGCUUGCUCCUUUGACGUUAGCGGCGGACGGGUGAGUAACACGUGGGUAACCUACCUAUAAGACUGGAAUAACUCCGGGAAACCGGGGCUAAUGCCGGAUAACAUUUAGAACCGCAUGGUUCUAAAGUGAAAGAUGGUUUUGCUAUCACUUAUAGAUGGACCCGCGCCGUAUUAGCUAGUUGGUAAGGUAACGGCUUACCAAGGCAACGAUACGUAGCCGACCUGAGAGGGUGAUAGGCCACACUGGAACGGAGACACGGUCCAGACUACUACGAGAGGCAGCAGUAGGGAAUCUUCCGCAAUGGGCGAAAGCCUGACGGAGCAACGCCGCGUGAGUGAUGAAGGUCUUCGGAUCGUAAAACUCUGUUAUUAGGGAAGAACAAAUGUGUAAGUAACUGUGCACGUCUUGACGGUACCUAAUCAGAAAGCCACGGCUAACUACGUG